AAACCAACAGGGAUUGCCUCAGUAGCGGCGAGUGAAGCGGCAAGAGCUCAGAUUUGAAAUCUCACCUAGUGUGCGAGUUGUAAAUUGCAGGUUGGAGUCUCGGGUUAGACGUGUGUGCAAGUCCCUUGGAACAGGGUGCCACUGAGGGUGAGAGCCCCGUAUCGUGCAUGUCGACACCUGUGAGGCCCUUCUGACGAGUCGAGUUGUUUGGGAAUGCAGCUCUAAGUGGGUGGUAAAUUCCAUCUAAAGCUAAAUAUUGGCGAGAGACCGAUAGCGAACAAGUACAGUGAUGGAAAGAUGAAAAGAACUUUGAAAAGAGAGUGAAAAAGUACGUGAAAUUGUUGAAAGGGAAGGGCAUUUGAUCAGACAUGGUGUUUUGCGCCCUUUGCUCCUUGUGGGCGAGGAUACGCAGCUCACUGGGCCAACAUCAGUUUUGGGAGCAGGAUAAAUCUGUAGGAACGUAGCUUUCUUCGGGAAGUGUUAUAGCCUACGGG
rnacentral:rRNA from 1 species